rnacentral:rRNA from 1 species
UACAGAGGUCUCAAGCGUUGUUCGGAUUCAUUGGGCGUAAAGGGUGCGUAGGCGGUUUUCUAAGUCAGCAGUGAAAUACGGCAGCUCAACUGUCGAGGUGCUGUUGAUACUGGGGAACUUGAGUACUGAUGAGGUAGGCGGAAUGGACGGUGUAGCGGUGAAAUGCUUAGAGAUCGUCCAGAACACCGAUAGCGAAGGCAGCUUACUAAGGAGUAACUGACGCUGAGGCACGAAAGUGUGGGGAUCAAACAGG